GACGAACGCUGGCGGCGUGCUUAACACAUGCAAGUCGAACGGAAAGGCCCUGCUUUUGUGGGGUGCUCGAGUGGCGAACGGGUGAGAACACGUGAGUAACCUGCCCUUGACUUUGGGAUAACUUCAGGAAACUGGGGCUAAUACCGGAUAGGAGCUCCUGCUGCAUGGUGGGGGUUGGAAAGUCUCGGCGGUUGGGGAUGGACUCGCGGCUUAUCAGCUUGUUGGUGGGGUAGUGGCUUACCAAGGCUUUGACGGGUAGCCGGCCUGAGAGGGUGACCGGCCACAUUGGGACUGAGAUACGGCACAGACUCCUACGGGAGGCAGCAGUGGGGAAUAUUGCACAAUGGGCGGAAGCCUGAUGCAGCAACGCCGCGUGCGGGAUGACGGCCUUCGGGUUGUAAACCGCUUUCGCCUGUGACGAAGCGUGAGUGACGGUAAUGGGUAAAGAAGCACCGGCUAACUACGUG
rnacentral:rRNA from 1 species